GAAUGUGUCUGGUGACCCAGAGGUGCUGGUGAAUGACCACAAUCCCAAAGUCAGGGGGUCCAGAGACUAUCUGGACCAGCUGGACCAAAACAAGCCUCUUUACUUGCCAGGAGACUCAGACAUCAGCAGUUCUGUAGGCGGCCUGAAGCCCAGGCUGAAGGACUAUGACACUGGAGUGGAGUCCGGAGAGGACCUGGAGGAUGAGGACUUCUAUGUUUUGUUUCCUUCUAUCGUGGAUGAGCAAGAACGUCUAAACUACAAACGGGAAUUUGACCAGGAGCACCAGGAGUACAAGAGCCUGCAGGCUGAGCUGGACAGCAUAAACCAGGACUUGGCUGAGCUUGACCUAGCUCUGAACCAACUACUCGAGGGCAGUCCACAGU